rnacentral:rRNA from 1 species
AACGUAGGUUCCGAGCGUUAUCCGGAUUUACUGGGCGUAAAGCGCGUUCAGGCGGUUUGGCAAGUCGGGCCUGAAAUCCUUCGGCUCAACCGGGGGAGGUUGUCCGAUACUGCUGAACUGGAGGGCAGUAGAGGGUGGUGGAAUUCCGGGUGUAGUGGUGAAAUGCGUAGAGAUCCGGGGGAACACCAGUGGCGAAAGCGGCCACCUGGACUGCACCUGACGCUGAAACGCGAAAGCUAGGGGAGCGAACGGG